rnacentral:rRNA from 1 species
UACAGAGGGGGCCAGCGUUAUUCGGAAUUAUUGGGCGUAAAGGGCGCGUAGGCGCCAUGCGUGUCUUCCGUGAAAUCCCUCGGCUUAACUGAGGACGUGCGGAAGAAACUGCAAGGCUCGAGUCCGGGAGAGGGGGGUGGAAUUCCCAGUGUAGCGGUGAAAUGCGUAGAUAUUGGGAGGAACACCGGUGGCGAAGGCGGCCCCCUGGACCGGUACUGACGGCUGAGGCGCGAAAGCGUGGGUA